AGCGGAGGAAAAGAAACCAACUGGGAUUACCUUAGUAACGGCGAGUGAAGCGGUAAAAGCUCAAAUUUGAAAUCUGGUACUUUCAGUGCCCGAGUUGUAAUUUGUAGAAUUUGUCUUUGAUUAGGUCCUUGUCUAUGUUCCUUGGAACAGGACGUCAUAGAGGGUGAGAAUCCCGUUUGGCGAGGAUACCUUUUCUCUGUAAGACUUUUUCGAAGAGUCGAGUUGUUUGGGAAUGCAGCUCAAAGUGGGUGGUAAAUUCCAUCUAAAGCUAAAUAUUGGCGAGAGACCGAUAGCGAACAAGUACAGUGAUGGAAAGAUGAAAAGAACUUUGAAAAGAGAGUGAAAAAGUACGUGAAAUUGUUGAAAGGGAAGGGCAUUUGAUCAGACAUGGUGUUUUUUGCAUGCACUCGCCUCUCGUGGGCUUGGGCCUCUCAAAAAUUUCACUGGGCCAACAUCAAUUCUGGCAGCAGGAUAAAUCAUUAAGAAUGUAGCUACUUCGGUAGUGUUAUAGCUUUUUGGAAUACUGUUAGCCGGGAUUGAGGACUGCGCUUCGGCAAGGAUGUUGGCAUAAUGGUUAAAUGCCGCCCGUCUUGAAC
rnacentral:rRNA from 1 species